CUGCUCACCCCUCAAAAUAACGAUUUGGGGUGAUGCCCCAAUCCUCACUGCUAACGUGAGAUAAAUUUUUGAGCAGGCGAAGGUUACCCCUAAGGUGACAAGCCUACUUUGCGGAAUGCCUGGGUGUUGCGAUCUGCCUG